rnacentral:rRNA from 1 species
CGAGCAUUUUAUGCUCUGUAAUUGGAAUGAUGGGAAUGUAAAACCCUUCCAGAGUAACAAUUGGAGGGCAAGUCUGGUGCCAGCAGCCGCGGUAAUUCCAGCUCCAAUAGUGUAUAUUAGAGUUGUUGCAGUUAAAAAGCUCGUAGUUGGAUUUCUGCUGUGGUCAUCCGGUACCGCCCGUAUGGGUGCGCACCUGGUUUGGCUCCGGCUUUCUUCCUGUAGCCGUCCGCGCUUAAUUGCGUGUACUGUGUUACGGAACUUUUACUUUGAGAAAAAUAGAGUGUUUCAAGCAGGCUUGUCGCCCUGAAUACUUCAGCAUGGAAUAAUAGGAUAGGACCUUGGUUCUAUUUUGUUGGUUUCUAGGACCAAGGUAAUGAUUAAUAGGGACAGUGGG